ACACCUUACUGUACACUGUGACUGUGUUUUAUUGUGUUUUGCGCUGAGUACCUCUUUCUGACGUUUCAGCAUAAAAAUUUAAAGCAGGAGCAGGCUGACACGUUUGCAUUCGAGCAAUUAAAUUCUUAUCAGUUUCGAGGAUCGUGCUUUUAGUUGAUUUUCUACGAUGAGGACUUUGUCUGCACUUUGCCUUUUACUUGCGGUGGCCGUGGCCAUCGAGAAGCCCGAGGAGGACGACAAAGCUGUCAGGGUCACCAUAGAGAGUUGUGGUGGAUGACGUUUGAACCGGCUUCCGGAGGUCAAAGCCUUCAUUCACGAAGACAUUCCUCAAAUAAGCGAAGCCAUCUUCAGAAGUGUUCCAGGGGCGCCUCCAGAGGCGGUUUUCUUUAACAAAGAUGAUAAGGAGCUGUCCAGGGUGUCCCUGUCGGAGAAGAGUAGAGAGGAGUGUUUGCAGCUGCUGGCUGAGCACGGCUUCCAUAAGAAGUCCGAAGAAAAGCGGCAUGAAUUGUAAAACGCCCUUUUGCCCUUCCCAGUUGUGAGCAAACGCGAGUGCUGGACCAGACGACCUAUGACGUGGACAACUAAAACCUGAGAAAGGUGGUUGCCUGCCGACGCUCUCUACGCCUGGCCUGUCGCUCCGUUCGCUUUAAAACUAUUCCCUUUUCUACACAAAUAAAUUUUUUUAUUUUUUGUUUGUGAAAUUUAUAA